rnacentral:rRNA from 1 species
AACGAACGCUGGCGGCAGGCCUAACACAUGCAAGUCGAGCGGACCCUUCGGGGUUAGCGGCGGACGGGUGAGUAACGCGUGGGAAUAUGCCCUUCUCUACGGAAUAGUCCUGGGAAACUGGGGGUAAUACCGUAUACGCCCUUUGGGGGAAAGAUUUAUCGGGGAAGGAUUAGCCCGCGUUGGAUUAGGUAGUUGGUAGGGUAAUGGCCUACCAAGCCGACGAUCCAUAGCUGGUUUGAGAGGAUGAUCAGCCACACUGGGACUGAGACACGGCCCAGACUCCUACGGGAGGCAGCAGUGGGGAAUCUUAGACAAUGGGGGCAACCCUGAUCGAGCCAUGCCGGGUGAGUGAUGAAGGCCUUAGGGUUGUAAAGCUCUUUCAGCUGGGAAGAUAAUGACGGUACCAGCAGAAGAAGCCCCGGCUAACUCCGUG